rnacentral:rRNA from 1 species
GACAGAGGUGGCGACCGUUGUUCGGAAUCACUGGGCAUAAAGCGCGUGUAGGCGGUGAGAUAAGUCGGGUGUGAAAUCCCUCGGCCUAACCGAGGAAUUGCGCUCGAAACUAUCUUGCUUGAGGAUCAGAGGGGAGCCUGGAAUUCCUGGUGGAGCGGUGAAAUGCGUUGAUAUCAGGAGGAACACCGGCGGCGAAGGCGAGGCUCUGGCUGAUUUCUGACGCUGAGACGCGAAAGCUAGGGGAGCAAAC